rnacentral:rRNA from 1 species
AUGGUUGACCUCCGGACAUACCUCGGUGAUGCCAAAAAACUUGCCGCGGCAUUCGCCUCGCCAUCGCCACCCGUUCCUUCCCAUGACAUCAAAGGCAUGGAUUCGUCCGUGGCGAAGGUGAAACUCGAGCGGGACGGUGACACACCGACGGUGUCCCUGAAAAAAAGGAAACGCGAGGAGGCCGCCAGUGCAAAAGACGGUCUCUGCCGUUCUGAGCAGAGCACGCCGCAUGCUGCCCCGCCAGAUUUCGACCCGAAGCCGCCGCACUCGCCCGCGCCCGACGUACACGACGGCGACAGCGCCGACUGGCAGGCCGCGAAGAAGGUGCUAGAGUCCAUCACCACGCCGUCGCGGGCGCAAUCGUUCGCCGCGGCAAAGCCGUCCGACGUCGUCGCUUCGAGCUACUCAGCCAUGCUCCAGAGGUUGAACAGCUUCUCCUUGGACUAA